GACGAACGCUGGCGGCGUGCCUAAUACAUGCAAGUCGAGCGGACAGAUAAGGAGCUUGCUCCUUUGAAGUCAGCGGCGGACGGGUGAGUAACACGUGGGCAACCUGCCUAUAAGACUGGGAUAACUCCGGGAAACCGGGGCUAAUACCGGAUAGAUUCUUUCCUCUCAUGAGGAAAGAAGGAAAGAUGGUUUCGGCUAUCACUUAUAGAUGGGCCCGCGGCGCAUUAGCUAGUUGGUAAGGUAACGGCUUACCAAGGCGACGAUGCGUAGCCGACCUGAGAGGGUGAUCGGCCACGCUGGGACUGAGACACGGCCCAGACUCCUACGGGAGGCAGCAGUAGGGAAUCUUCCGCAAUGGACGAAAGUCUGACGGAGCAACGCCGCGUGAACGAAGAAGGCCUUCGGGUCGUAAAGUUCUGUUGUUAGGGAAGAACAAGUACGAUAGCAACUGAUCGUACCUUGACGGUACCUAACCAGAAAGCCACGGCUAACUACGUGCCAGCCGCCGCGGUAA
rnacentral:rRNA from 1 species